rnacentral:rRNA from 1 species
AUGAUAUGUUUUAAUUGUGGUGGUCCGGGGCACUAUGUGGGUAAUUGUGUUAGGCCUAAAGCUUGUUUUAUCUACCAACAAUCCCAUAAUGUCAACAAUUGCUUUGCUUGGUCUAGGCUUCAUCCUACUGCAGCUUUCUUUGGUAGUGGUGCUAGUGGGCUGGGCUUUUAUCAUGUUGAGGUUCCUGUGGCAAAUGAAUCCAAAUGGAUCAAUUUUCAAAACUGUGGUGUGGUUAACAUUACCAAAGGUGAAGUGGACAAAGAUAAGUUGGUGAGUCUUCUGCCUGCUACAUUUUGUAAAACCAGAGCUUGGCCGUGGCAGAUUAGAGAGCUAUCCAAUAAAGAGUUUCUGGUCAGGUUCCCUCCAUCGAAGAAAGUAGAGGACUUAAUUGAACUUCAUGGUUUCAGUUUACCUCAGGAUGUAUCUGUCAAAAUGACUGAAUGGGCUAGGUCUUGUGACCCAUUUGGAGAACUAAUUGAGGCAUGGGUGCUGAUUGAAGGGAUUCCUCCUAAGUGGUGCUCUUGGAAAGUGUUUGCACAAAUUACAUCUAUGUUUGGGGUGCUCACUGAUGUUGAUUGGAAUGGCAUGUUUAGAACAUUCUUUGAAAAUGUGAGGAUUAAGAUUGCUUGCACAGACCCUAGUAAAAUUCCAUUCGAGAGAUUGAUUGAGAUGAAGAAGAAGCUAUUCCUGCUUGGUUUCACUGUAGAAGGCUUUGAGCAGGUGGGAGGCAAAGGUUCUGUGGUGGAAAUUGAAGAUGAGAAUGAGGAUGACAACUUUGAGGAAGACAAUGGUAACCAGAAACAACAUGAUCUACCCAAGAAUGAUGAGGAUGAUGAUCUCAUUGAUGAUGACACUGCCAUUGAUGAGCUUGAUAAAGCAAACCUCACAUCUAGGGGUGUCAAGAGUUCUUCUGCUAGGAAAAAAACCUAUAACACACUGCCUGAUUGCCAGGGGAUGAUAAGGAAAACUUCAUUCUGGAGUGCAUUUCAAGCAGGAUGA